AGCGAUGAUGACUGGGACGACGAGUGGG
rnacentral:piRNA from 1 species